CUUCAGGGCCCCGCCGCUCCUCCUCGGCCCCCUCGGCGCUUCCCGCUCCUGCCUCGGCCAUGGCGGGCGGCCCGUGCCACCGCUCCACAGCGCCCCCGGCCCCGGUGGCAUGCAGGAGGUGAGCUGAGGUAGCAGCUUCUUUGAGGCAGAGUGGUGUUCUGUGAGGCAGAGCCUGAACCCAGCUUGGCUGACCCACUACAGUCCACUGGUACCCACAUUUAAAACCUGCUUUCAUCUUUGAAAUUCAGCUAUGGAAUAGGAAUUACAACCUCUGUAAUACUUAAAAUUUUCAUGCUUGAUAAAAAAAAAUUACCUUAAAGGUUAAGACCUUCCUGAACUGCAGAGAUAAACGUGUCGGACUGGCACUGGAAACCACUAUUGUCAUCACUCCCAACAGCAAGAAAGACUGUUUUGAAUACUUCUCCCUUCUCUUUCCAUAAGAAGAGCCUCAGGAAAGAUAUUUUCUUGUCUAGAGCACAACUGUUUUGCUUAUAUGCAAGAUACAUUUUGUAAAAGAAUGAAGAAAUUAAAUAUAGUAGGUUUUAUACAGCAUGUUUUAUAAACACUAUGUAGUAUUUAAAAGUGGUUGAUUUAAAAACAAGAAACAUUUCUGCACAUGAUGAAUGCAUAGCCUUUAUAUUUGCCAUUAAAGUGCUGUAUUUUUGAGGAAUACUAAAUUUGGUAAUGCAAGGAGAUAAAGAACUAAGCCUGCUUAUCCU